rnacentral:sRNA from 1 species
GGUAACCUCUCUCCUGAACCCUGGGAUCUGGGGAGCAGGCGGAGUUCUCCAGCAGGGGAAGUACCUCUACCAAGGUAACUACCACCCCUCCCUUCUAGAUUCCUGAGUAGCAGAAGCAGUACACAGUCAUGGUCUUGGAGCCAAGAGACCGACCAGGAUUCUAGUUCAGGCCCUACUGUGGAUUAGCUCUGUGCUGCAGCCAAUCCAUGUUAGCCCCCCCAAGUUAGGAAGACCUGGAAACCCUACAAAGCCAACCGCUUUCUGGAAUGUAAUAUUCUUGGCACUUGGAGUUAGGAUCCCCAGGUUCUAGUCCUGAGUCUGGACUCUGGGUAAGUGACUCAGCGAUUCUGAACCUUGUUUCCUUAUCUUUGAAGUGGAGUGACAAUACCUGUCCUAUCUACUCUCCUGGGCAGUUAGGAAAAUCAAACUGCUGCAAAAGUGAUUGAGCAAAAUUCCACCAAAACAGAGAAUAUUCUUAUUAAUGCAUUUAAAAAUAAAUACGGCAGAUAAACCUGAGGAGUAAAAAUAGCAGUUGAUAUUUAUUGGGCACUUACCAUGUGCCAGGCACUGUCCCAAGCACUUUAUGUGUAUUAGUUCACUGACUUCUCACGGCAGCCCUGGGAGAUAGGUAUUCUUUUCAUCCCCACUCUAGAGAUGAAGACACUGAGCCCUGAGGUGUUAACUUGCUCCAGGUUGCAUAGUAAGUGGCAGAGGCAGGACUGAUACAUAAGCAGGCUGACCCAGGGCCCGCACUCUCAACCCCUGCCCCACACUGACCCACCCCCUACCUUGUCAGCCAUACCGGUGGCUCCACCACCAGACCAGCCCACCCCAAUCCCAUCCCCAUGCGCACUGAGGAAUCAGACUUCCUCUCAGCUUCUUGUGGCCUUUCCAGAACAAAAGGAUCUACAGCUGCAUGAUGAUCUCUUCAAGAAGAGUGAUCUCUCUCUCCCCAAUUGUCCUGCUUCAGAUUUUUGAUUGUCCCCGGCUGAAGUUUUCUGAGAUCCCCCAGCGCCUCACAGCCCUGCUAUUGCCCCCUGACCCAAUUGUCAUCAACCAUGUCAUCAGGUGAGGUGGCCCCAGCUUGCUUCUCAGACCAGGGAAUGAUCUCGUUCCUGCCUUCCCUGCCCCUCCCUCUCCUCCCACUCCCAUCUCUUCUCCCUCCCUGUUGGAUCUGCCCCAGCCCCGGGGCCCUGGGGCCUGUAUGGGGGCAUCGUGGACACGAAGGGCUGGACUUCCCUGGCAGCGUGGACCCUUCAGACCAGAAGAAGACGGCGUGCUAUGACAUUGACGUGGAGGUGGAGGAGCCAUUAAAGGGGCAGAUGAGCAGCUUCCUCCUGUCCACGGCCAACCAGCAGGAGAUCAGUGCUCUGGACAGUAAGAUCCAUGAGACGAUUGAGUCCAUAAACCAGCUCAAGAUCCAGAGGGACUUCAUGCUAAGCUUCUCCAGAGACCCCAAAGGCUAUGUCCAAGACCUGCUCCGCUCCCAGAGCCGGGACCUCAAGGUGAUGACAGAUGUAGCCGGCAACCCCGAAGAGGAGCGCCGGGCUGAGUUCUACCACCAGCCCUGGUCCCAGGAGGCCGUCAGUCGCUACUUCUACUGCAAGAUCCAGCAGCGCAGGCAGGAGCUGGAGCAGUCGCUGGUUGUGCGCAACACCUAGGAGCCCAAAAAUAAGCAGCACGACGGAACUUUCAGCCGUGUCCCGGGCCCCAGCAUUUUGCCCCGGGCUCCAGCAUCACUCCUCUGCCACCUUGG